UACGGAGGAGGCAAGCGUUAUCCGGAAUUAUUGGGCGUAAAGCGUCCGUAGGUGGCUAGUCAAGUCUGCUGUCAAAGCCAGUUGCUCAACAACUGAAAGGCAGUGGAAACUGACAAGCUAGAGAGAGGUAGGGGUAGAGGGAAUUCCCGGUGUAGCGGUGAAAUGCGUAGAGAUCGGGAAGAACAUCGGUGGCGAAAGCGCUCUACUGGACCUCAUCUGACACUAAUGGACGAAAGCUAGGGGAGCGAAUGGG
rnacentral:rRNA from 1 species